GCAUAUCAAUAAGCGGAGGAAAAGAAACUAACAAGGAUUCCCCUAGUAACGGCGAGUGAAGCGGGAAGAGCACAAAUUUUAAAUCUACCUGGGUUUACUAGGUCGAGUUGUAAUUUGAAGAAACGUUUUUAAUGUUCCGGGUUGGUUUAAAUCCUUUGGGAUAAGGUAUCAUGGAGGGUGAGAAUCCCGUGUAUAUCAACCGCUGGGAUGUCAUUAAUACGUUCUCUAAGAGUCGAGUUGUUUGGGAAUGCAGCUCUAAAUGGGUGGUAAAUUUCACCUAAUGCUAAAUAUAAGCGAGAGACCGAUAGCGAACAAGUACCGUGAGGGAAAGAUGAAAAGUACUUUGAAAAGAGAGUUAAAUAGUACGUGAAAUUGUUGAAAGGGAAACGAUUGAAGUCAGUCAUGCCGGCGGGAAUCAAUUUUGAGGAAGGGGGAUUUUUUGAACCUAACCUUGAAAUGCACUUCUUCGCUUGGCAGGUUAGCGUCGAUUUUGAACGUCAUAAAAUGAUUGGGGGAAGGUAGCUCUUUCGGGAGUGUUAUAGCCCUUAAUUAAUGUGAUGUUUGGGAUCGAGGAUUGCAACGGAUACCUUUUAGGCUAGCCGCCUGGUCUCUGAUUCGAUGUCGGGUUAUAGACAGCACGCUGACUAUGAUUUGAUUAUUGGUCAAAAGGUUAGAGCGAGCAUAAAUUCGUUAAGGACGCUGACGUAAUGGCUUUAAACGAC
rnacentral:rRNA from 1 species